rnacentral:rRNA from 1 species
UACGGGGGGGGUAAGCGUUGUUCGGAAUUACUGGGCGUAAAGGGCUCGUAGGCGGCCAACUAAGUCGGAUGUGAAAUCCCCAAGCUUAACUUGGGAACUGCAUCCGAUACUGGAUGGCUUGAAUCCGGGAGAGGGAUGCAGAAUUCCAGGUGUAGCGGUGAAAUGCGUAGAUAUCUGGAGGAAUACCGGUGGCGAAGGCGGCAUCCUGGACCGGCAUUGACGCUGAGGAGCGAAAGCCAGGGGAGCAAACGGG